AGGGUGUAAACGCUGCAGACUUGGUGUUGGAGGCCCUUUGGGGGCGACUCAGUGCCGGAGAGAAGUUGUUAAGUCUGCUACUUGGGGAGUACGUCCGCAAGGAUGAAACUUAAAGGAAUUGGCGGGGGGAGGCACCGCAACGGGAGGAGCGUGCGGUUUAAUUGGAUUCAACACCGUAAAACUACACCAGGGAAGACUGUUACAUGAAAGCCGAGAUGAAGACUCUGCUAGAUUUUCAGAGAGGUGGUGCAUGGCGUCAGUGACU
rnacentral:rRNA from 1 species